UCCCUUUCGGUGUACGGCACAGGAAUUUUUGAUGUUCCAGGAGGAGACGAUCUAGAGGGAU
rnacentral:tRNA from 1 species